rnacentral:rRNA from 1 species
GGAGAACACCAGUGGCGAAGGCGGCUGUCUGGUCUGUAACUGACGCUGAGGGGGGGAGCGUGGGUAGCAAACAGGAUUAGAUACCCUGGAAGAAGGGCCGGAAACGAUGAAUGCUAGGUGUUGGAGGGUUUCCGCCCUUCAGUGCCGCAGCUAACGCAUCAAGAUAACCCACUGGGGGAGUACGACCGCAAGGUUGAAACUCAAAGGAAUUGACGGGGGCCCGCACAAGCGGUGGAGCAUGUGGUUUAAUUCGAAGCAACGCGAAGAACCUUACCAGGUCUUGACAUCCUUUGAACAUUUCAGAGAUUGAGCUUUCUUUUUGGGACACAAGUGCAAGGGGGGGAUGGUUGUCCUCCGGUCGUGGUCUGAGAAGGUGGGGUAAGUCUUUUUAUAAGCCCACCCUUAUUAUUAAUUUCCCGGCUUAAGGUGGGCACUCUAGGGGGGCUGGCGGGGGCCAAACCGGAGAAGGGGGGGAUGACCUCAAAAUCUUCUGCCCCUUAUGACCUGGGCUAAA